GCACUUGGAGCUGCCACUUCGGCCAGCCCAUGCAGCGACUCCUUCACCGUCAACUUCACCUUAGUCGCUUAGAGCUCGCUGACCUACUCAAGGAGCCUCCGAGGCCCCUAUCUUGCCAGAUCGCCACCACCAGUUUCCGCGAGACCAACCCGAGCCGCCGCUGUUCCUCGUUCCGCCCCGGCUUGUUUCUUCCCCACCCCAAGACCUCGUCCGUAGGAUCGGAGGUGAGCUGCUGACCCCUUUCCAACUCUUCCCGACCCUGCCUGCCUCGCCCGAGUGCUGUCCGCCUUGCCCGAGUGCUGUCCGCCUCGCCCAACCCUGUCCGCCUCGCCCGAGUGUUGUCCCUCGCCCGAGGGCUCUGUUGUGUCUUUUUCUUUUGACCGAGGGUAUCUGUGUAAAUUCCGAGAACUUCUCUGUGUUAAAUCUAAGGAUCCUGGUACAGUUAUUCCUUAAGUCUAAGGGUCAGAUCAUAAGUUUUCCCUUAUCCGACUCUUUUAACUCAAAUGAAAUCGACAAAAACUUGGAAAUUGCAUCUUAAAUCGAGGAAAAAUUAGAAAAAUACUAAAUCACUUUUGUUGGAGUCCUUGUUCUGUCUAGUUUCUUACAAAAUAAGUAAUUUUUGAAGAGGUACAUAAAAACAUUCAGAAGUAAAUAACUCGCCUAAUGCACUUGAACCACCCCAAACGCAACCUCCC
rnacentral:lncRNA from 1 species